rnacentral:rRNA from 1 species
UGGGGAAUCUUGCACAAUGGGGGAAACCCUGAUGCAGCGAUGCCGCGUGAGUGAAGAAGGCCUUUGGGUUGUAAAGCUCUUUCGUCGGGGAAGAAAAUGACUGUACCCGAAUAAGAAGGUCCGGCUAACUUCGUGCCAGCAGCCGCGGUAAUACGAAGGGACCUAGCGUAGUUCGGAAUUACUGGGCUUAAAGAGCUCGUAGGUGGUUAGAAAAGUUGGUGGUGAAAUCCCAAGGCUUAACCUUGGAACUGCCACCAAAACUUUUUGACUAGAGUAUGAUAGAGGAAAGUGGAAUUUCUAGUGUAGAGGUGAAAUUCGUAGAUAUUAGAAAGAACACCAAUUGCGAAGGCAACUUUCUGGAUCAUUACUGACACUGAGGAGCGAAAGCAUGGGUAGCGAAGAGG